AUGACAGCUUCUCCCUUUCUUACAUCACUUAGCAAGCUCCGCCCCGCCCCUGUAAGAACACUGUUCCUGUUUGGGUUCCUUUAUCUGUGGCAGAAUGAGAGCUGAGUGUCACCAGCCUGGAGCUGCACACAAGCAGAACAGUCUGAGAAGAUCCAAGAUGGUCCGGCUGAAGAAGGGGCAGAGGAAGAGGCAGAGGAAGAGGCAGCAGAAAGCAGGUCCUCAAGCACCUCCACCUCCUUCUUGAAGAGGCUCCCCAGAAUUUAGGAGAGGAAGAAUAUGUGGCAGCAGUUGAUGCUGCUACACAAACAGACCAGUCCCUCCUCCUUUACAUGGUAUCAGGCCUGCUCCAGCAGGUCACAUAUUUGAAGAGGGAACUGCACGACUUUAUGCAAACUUUGCAUAAUAACCCUCCUCCAGCAUCCUUCUAAAGUUUUAUCACUGUUGUGGUAUGUUUUAUGUUAUAGUAAAAACCUUGUUCAAACCUG